CCUACGGGAGGCAGCAGUGAGGAAUAUUGGUCAAUGGGCGAGAGGCUGAACCAGCCAAGUCGCGUGAGGGAAGACGGCCCUACGGGUUGUAAACCUCUUUUGUCGGGGAGCAAAGGGAGUCACGUGUGUCUUCUUGAAAGUAUCCCAAGAAAAAGGAACGGCUAACUCCGUGCCAGCAGCCGCGGUAAUACGGAGGAUGCGAGCGUUAUCCGGAUUUAUUGGGUUUGAAGGGUGGGGAGGCGGGCGGGUAAGUCAGCGGUGAAAAUUGGGGGCUCAACCCCGGAACUGCAGUUGAUACUGGAUGCCUUGAGUGCACGAGAAGUAUGCGGAAUGCGUGGUGUAGCGGUGAAAUGCAUAGAGAUCACGCAGAACUCCGAUUGCGAAGGCAGCAUACCGGCGUGCAACUGACGUUGAUGCACGAAAGCGUGGGUAUCGAACAGGAUUAGAUACCCCAGUAGUC
rnacentral:rRNA from 1 species